ACUGUACAGUAGAGUUUGAUCCUGGCUCAGAUUGAACGCUGGCGGCAUGCCUUACACAUGCAAGUCGAACGGCAGCGCGGGGCAACCUGGCGGCGAGUGGCGAACGGGUGAGUAAUAUAUCGGAACGUACCCUGGAGUGGGGGACAACGUAGCGAAAGUUACGCUAAUACCGCAUACGAUCUAAGGAUGAAAGUGGGGGACCUGCAAGGGCCUCAUGCUCCUGGAGCGGCCGAUAUCUGGAUUAGCUAGUUGGUGGGGUAAAGGCCUACCAAGGCAUCGAUCAGUAGCUGGUCUGAGAGGACGACCAGCCACACUGGGACUGAGACACGGGCCCAGACUCCUACGGGAGGCAGCAGUGGGGAAUUUUGGACAAUGGGCGCAAGCCUGAUCCAGCAAUGCCGCGUGAGUGAAGAAGGCCUUCGGGUUGUAAAGCUCUUUUGUCAGGGAAGAAACGGAUUUUUCUAAUACAGAGAUCUAAUGACGGUACCUGAAGAAUAAGCACCGGCUAACUACGUGCCAGCAGCCGCGGUAAU
rnacentral:rRNA from 1 species